AGGGCUGCUAUGCCGUGAGGUGAAGCGAAUCCUUGUAAAGCCGGUCUCAGUUCGGAUCGCGGUCUGCAACUCGACCUCGUUAAGUCGGAGUCGCUAGUAAUCGCAGAUCAGCAACGCUGCGGUGAAUACGUUCCCGGGCCUUGUACACACCGACCGUCACGUCAUGGAAGUGGGUAACAACCAGAAGCGGGGGGCUAAACUCUCGGGGAGGGAGCCGUCGAAAGGGGGAUCGGCCAAUUGGAACGAAGUCGUACAAGGUAAACCGUA
rnacentral:rRNA from 1 species